rnacentral:rRNA from 1 species
UGAGGGAUAUUGGGCAAUGGGGGCAACCCUGACCCAGCGACGCCGCGUGAGGGAAGACGGUCUUCGGAUUGUAAAGCUCUAUCAGCAGGAAAGAUAAUGACGGUACCUGACUAAGAAGCACCGGCUAAAUACGUGCCAGCAGCCGCGGUAAUACGUAUGGUGCAAGCGUUAUCCGGAUUUACUGGGUGUAAAGGGAGCGCAGACGGCAUGGCAAGCCAGAUGUGAAAGGUGGGGGCUCAACCCCCAAGCUGCAUUUGGAACUGUCAAGCUAGAGUAUCGGAGAGGUAAGUGGAAUUCCUAGUGUAGCGGUGAAAUGCGUAGAUAUUAGGAGGAACACCAGUGGCGAAGGCGGCUUACUGGACGAUAACUGACGUUGAGGCUCGAAAGCGUGGGGAGCAAACAGGAUUAGAUACCCUGGUAGU